rnacentral:rRNA from 1 species
UACGUAGGGUGCGAGCGUUAAUCGGAAUUACUGGGCGUAAAGCGUGCGCAGGCGGUUUUGUAAGCCAGAUGUGAAAUCCCCGGGCUUAACCUGGGAAUGGCAUUUGGGACUGCAAGGCUUGAGUGCGGCAGAGGAGACUGGAAUUCCUGGUGUAGCAGUGAAAUGCGUAGAUAUCAGGAGGAACACCGAUGGCGAAGGCAGGUCUCUGGGCCGAUACUG